AGCAGCCGCGGUAAUUCCAGCUCCAAUAGCGUAUAUUAAAGUUGUUGCAGUUAAAAAGCUCGUAGUUGAAUUUCGGGGUCAAUACGUCGGUCGUGCUUCGGUACGCACUGACGAUAUUGGCCCUCCCUUCUGACGAACCGUGAUGUCAUUAAUUUGGUGUUGCGGGGAAUCAGGACUGUUACCUUAGAAAAAUUAGAGUGUUUAAAGCAGGCGAUCGCUCGAAUACAUUAGCAUGGAAUAAUGAAAUAGGACGUUCGAACCUAUUUUGUUGGUUUCUAGGAUCGACGUAAUGAUUAAUAGGGAUAGUUGGGGGCAUUAGUAUUCAAUUGUCAGAGGUGAAAUUCUUGGAUUUAUUGAAGACUAACUACUG
rnacentral:rRNA from 1 species